AUUCCAGCUCCAAUAGCGUAUAUUAAAGUUGUUGCGGUUAAAAAGCUCGUAGUUGGAUUUCUGCUGAGGACGACCGGUCCGCCCUCUGGGUGAGUAUCUGGCUUGGCCUUGGCAUCUUCUUGGAGAACGUAGCUGCACUUGACUGUGUGGUGCGGUAUCCAGGACUUUUACUUUGAGGAAAUUAGAGUGUUUCAAGCAGGCACACGCCUUGAAUACAUUAGCAUGGAAUAAUAAGAUAGGACCUUGGUUCUAUUUUGUUGGUUUCUAGGACUGAAGUAAUGAUUGAUAGGGAUAGUUGGGGGUGCUAGUAUUCAGCGGCCAGAGGUGAAAUUCUUGGAUUCGCUGAAGACUAACUUAUGCGAAAGCAUUCACCAAGGAUGUCUUCAUUA
rnacentral:rRNA from 1 species